GAAACUUGGAGCACAGUUUCUUUCCUCUUGCCAAGAGGAAAUUAUACAACUGAACAUGGACGCCAGGGUCAUUAAGUUCCACGGACAAGCGUGCAGAGCAGGGCGAAUCUGCUACGCCCGCGCAUUUGACAUAGCCAAGGGCAAGGAGAACAUUAAAAAGGAGGUGGCAAACUGUAUCACUAAGGCUAUCAUGCAAUGGGAGCUACUUCAUCCGG